AUGUCUUCCUCCACCUCCUCCUUCCAGCCAACUCUCAGCGGUGGAGUCACGGAGAAACUCUCCCGCACCAACUACAUCCUGUGGCGAACCCAGAUCACGCCACAGUUGCGGGGCGUCGACGUCUACCACUAUGUCGAUGGCACGUCGACCGAGCCGGCCAAAACCCACGUCACCAAAGAUGCCGCUGUGAAAGAAAUAGAGGGGCCGAAUCCUCUCCAUCCGCUCUGGGUGAAGGAGGAUCAGCAAGUCCUUGGAUAUCUACUUCAACACUUAUCCAAGGAAGUGCUCGUCAUGGUGACUGCGAUCACCACGGCGCGGGAACUCUGGGUGGCGCUAGCGAACAUGUUCUCGUCGCAGUCACUCAGCCGCGUCAACAACAUUCGCACGGCGCUGAUCAACGCGCAGAAGGGCAACCAAUUGGUGUCCUCCUUCGCCGCCAUGAGAGGGCUCGCUGAUGAACUCGCCGCGGCGGGGAAACCAAUCCAAGACGAUGAGCUCAUAUCCUACAUCAUCCACAGGCUGGAUCAAGACUACCAGCCCCUCGUCUCUGCCUUGGACGCCCGUGUCACUCCGGUAACCCUUGAUGAGCUCUUCGCUAUGCUUAGAAAUUUUGAUCAGCGUAUG
rnacentral:rRNA from 1 species